rnacentral:rRNA from 1 species
UGAAAUCCGUAGAGAUCAGCAGGAACACCAGAGGCGAAAGCGACUGCCUGGCCAAACACUGACGCUGAGGAACGAAAGCGUGGGGAGCAAACAGGAUUAGAUACCCUGGUAGUCCACGCCGUAAACGAUGAUAACUAGGUGUUGGGGGAAUUGACCCCUUCAGUACCGAAGCACACGCGUUAAGUUAUCCGCCUGGGGAGUACGGCCGCAAGGCUAAAACUCAAAGGAAUUGACGGGGGCCGCACAAGCGGUGGAGUAUGUGGUUUAAUUCGAAGCAACGCGAAGAACCUUACCUGGACUUGACAUUUCCGGACGAUGGUAGAGAUAUCAUUUUCCC